AGUGCAUUCACAAUAAGUCGUAACCGUUACCACUGUCCCUUUUAAGAACUUUGCAUUAUUCCACACAGAAAGUCUGUGCUCAUUAAAUAAUGGCUACACAUUCUCUCCAUCAUCCAGCACCAGGAUCCUUCUAAUUUAUUUUCUGUGUUCACGAAUUUCCUAGUUUGGAUACCUCGUAGAAUUUGACCAUACAAUAUUGUUCUUUGGUAUCUGGCAUAUUUUCCUUAGCACAAUGUUUCCGUGUUCAUCUAAGUCACAGCAUGUAUCAGAAUUUUGUACCAACUGUAAGUUAUUAUCCGGAUACUAUAAUUGACAUUAGCAUGGAAAAGUCAGAUGUUUUCAGUUUUGCUUCUUAUGUUAACAGCCAUAAAAUUAACUGAAAGUUACAGCCAGAACAAUUUGUACAAAACCUGAAAGUAUGAAGAAUUCUCCUACAACUUAAAGACUCUGUAAAUGAAUAAUAAAUGGUUUUCAAGAUAAUUUCCAGUUUGAAACCAAUUUUAAUUUCCAAUGGCCAAAAUGGAACUGGUGGGGUGUAUUUAUAGGCUCCUCACUGGUCCGUUAGUCCAGGAAGAGCUAAAUAAGCACUUACCAGUUCUCAAGGGGAAGGGGCCACGAUUGUCUUUACUAGAAACCAAA
rnacentral:lncRNA from 1 species